rnacentral:tRNA from 1 species
GCCCUUUUAGUAAUAAUUAGUACAGCUGACUUCCAAUUAGCAAGCUCCAGACAAACCUGGAAAAGAGCA